UGGGGAAUAUUGCACAAUGGGGGAAACCCUGAUGCAGCGACGCCGCGUGAGUGAAGAAGUGUUUCGGCACGUAAAGCUCUAUCAGCAGGGAAGAAAAUGACGGUACCUGACUAAGAAGCCCCGGCUAACUACGUGCCAGCAGCCGCGGUAAUACGUAGGGGGCAAGCGUUAUCCGGAUUUACUGGGUGUAAAGGGAGCGUAGACGGCUGUGCAAGUCUGAAGUGAAAGCCCGGGGCUUAACCCCGGGACUGCUUUGGAAACUGUAUAGCUUGAGUGCAGGAGAGGUAAGCGGAAUUCCUAGUGUAGCGGUGAAAUGCGUAGAUAUUAGGAGGAACACCAGUGGCGAAGGCGGCUUACUGGACUGCAACUGACGUUGAGGCUCGAAAGCGUGGGGAGCAAACAGG
rnacentral:rRNA from 1 species